rnacentral:rRNA from 1 species
UACGUAGGGUGCAAGCGUUAAUCGGAAUACUGGGCGUAAAGCGUGCGCAGGCGGUGAUGUAAGACAGAUGUGAAAUCCCCGGGCUCAACCUGGGAACUGCAUUUGUGACUGCAUCGCUGGAGUGCGGCAGAGGGGGAUGGAAUUCCGCGUGUAGCAGUGAAAUGCGUAGAUAUGCGGAGGAACACCGAUGGCGAAGGCAAUCCCCUGGGCCUGCACUGACGCUCAUGCACGAAAGCGUGGGGAGC